CUCGAACACUACAUCUCCAUUAUCCACAUUUUUUCCGGAUAACCACCUUCUAAUCGCAUCAACUGAAAAGCACCUAUUUACAUCCCCAUUCCAUCUCCAAUCAUCUACACACUUGAUUAGCGAGACAUGACGAAUCACCUCCAUCAACUCGUCCGAUUCCUUUAACUCGAUCUCCGACUCCGGAUCCUUCUUCCACGACCAAUUAACCGAGGUUAUCAUCGGCCACUGGAAUUCUAAUAACCGUCCGAUCUCAUCGUCGCCGGAAUCUGAUUCACCGCCACCGUAUUCAUCCAGAUCAGGUUUUCAAUCAGUUACCGGAAUUAUAACAACCUUCCGUACGAUCUCAUCAACCGCUGGGUCAUAGCCGGAAUCUGACGUCAUCUGAAAUCUAAUCAGCUUUAUUCAUGACAGAUAACCGACUUGGCCUCGGCUGAAACGCCGUACGCCGCCGCUGUUGAUGCGACGACGGUCGAAUCAACGCUGCUAAAGCUCUCUUCACCAGAUCACCGCCUUCAACGGUACCGAUUCUCACGAGCGAGUUCGUCAUCGCCGACCGCCGCGCGUUAAGCCGAUUAUUCGGAUACGACGCCGUAUUGUUUUGGACAUUAUUAACGUUCUUAUGCAAACUGCAUCUAAAGGAACCUGGAUGAGAAGUAGGCGAACACAUACACAUCCGUUUCGGAGCCUGUAACGGCUUCUUCGCCGGUGAAUUGCUGUUCGUCGGUGUUACGGAGAUCGAACGGUUAGAAGUGAAUCGUACGGACGGUGAUGGUGAUGAUGAUCCGUAGAGGUUGACACGUGUGGGAGAUGCAGAUCGGUUGAAAAAGGAAGUGGAUGAUGAGAAUGAAGAGGUUGAAGAAGCGAAGGAGUUUGAUGAGGGAGAGGUGUGGAAUCUUCCAGAAGGUGAGUGAGAUCGGAGCACUGGUCUUCUAUUCGCCAUUGAUUUACAGUGAAGAAAUUAGGGUUUUGAAAUAAGGAAGAAGAAGAUGGAGGGAAUUUUUAAAGACUGAAAUUCGGUUGCUAAAUUGGCAAACCUAUCUCUACUCGAGCCAUGUAUUUAAAGGAAACGAAAAACGGAUAUUUGGAUUAUCUUUUUCUUGAAAAGUUAAUAAUUUUGAAAAAAAAAAAAAUUUAUUUUAAAUAAAAUAUAUAUUUUUUGAUUGGUUUGAGGGGAUGUUUCUAGGUCGACAGAAACGACAAGGAUUAGACUCUAGAUGAGUGUGGGGUGCCACGUAUAAAGCACAUUUAACGAUGUGAUUUAAAGUUUCGUGAAAAAAUGUAAGAAUUUGCUAGGAAAAUAUAUUUUAAGUAGUGUAAGAAUUUAAUAGGAAAAUAUAUUUUAACGUAGUGUUUGUUGGUGCAUUUUAUAUAAACUAUCAAGAUGUUCGCGUGAUAUGUUGGGAGUGACACAUCGCAUUACGAUACUUAUAUACAUAAAAAAAAGUAAUCGGGUAAUCUAUUUGUGGGCCGGCUCAACCAUUUUGGUGGUCUAA
rnacentral:lncRNA from 1 species